GCCGUAGGGUGCGAGCGUUGUCCGGAAUUAUUGGGCGUAAAGAGCUCGUAGGCGGUUUGUCGCGUCGACUGUGAAAACCUACAGCUUAACUGUGGGCUUGCAGUCGAUACGGGCAGACUUGAGUUCGGUAGGGGAGACUGGAAUUCCUGGUGUAGCGGUGAAAUGCGCAGAUAUCAGGAGGAACACCUGUGGCGAAAGCGGCUCACUGGACCAUAACUGACGCUGAUGCACGAAAGCUGGGGGAGCAAACAGG
rnacentral:rRNA from 1 species